rnacentral:lncRNA from 1 species
CUGGGGAGUCCUGCUUAAGACAUAAAUAUACAUUAGCCCAAAGUUUCUGUAGAGGAAAAGAAAAGAACAUCGAAAGCAGAAUAAUAUUUUGAGUAGAACCCAGACAUACAUCCAUGGCAGGGCCAGACGAACUCAAGUGGCACUUGCCACACUGAACUCAGAAUCACUACAUGAAGCUUAUCGUGCCUGGCUCCUUUUUUGACAAAGUUAAGCUCUCCCAGGAGGCUCCUCAGGUUUUUGCAAGAAGGCUUGGGUUUAUUUGCUCCAUCAGGUUGGCAAAAAUGUUUGGAUCACACUUCCACUCAAGCAACAUGUCUGGAUUCUCAGAGUCUCCUGAUGCAAACAGGUAUAUCCAGAUGUACGAGAUGAGACUUAUGGAGGCUCACUUGCCCAGAGUUUCUCAGCUGGUCACUUGCUCAGCAGAAGUUGAAUUCUUGAUCCAGGUCUCUGAAGCAUGUGCGAGCUAAAGUUUGAGUUAUGAAUUCAAAUGUUGUCAGGGCUCAGGUGAGGAAAAGAGUAAAACUGGCUAGGUGGAGACUGAAGAUUUGGAAGCAAUUUUUGGCAUGGAAGAACUUGAGACCAGCAUUACCAGAUCUUCCCAUUUUUCAAGAGAAACUGAAAAUAUCUUCUCUUUAAUGUGAAAUCUCUGUAUUUAAAAUGCUAUAUAUUAAUUUUUUUAAAUAAACAGGAUUUGGGUUAGGCACA